GCAAGUUGUUUCUCUCAACCAACCAGGGCAUCCGCCCCACUGCCUGUGUCCAUGCCUGCUUUGCACAAGCAUUCACCGCGCCACACCGCGUAGGUGUUUAUCAUAACUGACAUGGUGUUAUUAUUCUUGGUCGAGAUGUUUUCUUGGUGUUUCAUUCAUUGUUCGUUUCAGCUACAAGCUCUGCUCUCUCCCUCUCUUAGGUCAUGAUUACCAGUUGUCUGCCGAGUCUCCUCUGUUUUAACCUGACCUUUCUGCUAUCCUGGCCGAGGUGCUCGUCUUUUAAUGUUAGCCACUCAUGCUUUGUCUAAAGCUGUCUCUCUCACCACUCUGGGCAGACGCCCGCAUAGUGCAGGCUUUCAGCCGCUGGUCUGACGCAGUGCGUUUUGCAUUCGGCUCAUUCCUCGCUUUGUCAUCUGGCUCAGUGUACUGUUUCUGUUCUGUUAACUCUGUUUCGUUCUUCUCGUUCCUCGCCCAAGAGGUAUACAGCACGCUCGUUCAGAAUCGGCGUGGCCACCACGGCCGCUAAGCGGGGUCUGUCCCCUACUGCGAUCAAGGCGCUGGGCCGUUGGUCGUCUGGCGCAUACGCUUCCUGCAUUUGCCUCACUCCUCAUCACGUCGUUGAAGCAUGCUAUAUCUGGUCUGUAACUUUAUGUUUUCUAUUCUCAUUUCUGGUGACGGUGGUAUUUUGCUGCACCGGCGGCAUUCACUCCAUCUCUUGGGGGGCUAUCGCUCCGGUCACCCGGUCAUGUCUGUAUUCUAUCCUUCUCUCAUCUAUCAGAUCGAUUUUAUAGUGGUCUGUAAGCCUGUUAUCUCUAUAUUUCGUAACAUUGAACCAGCCUAGUUGCCAUGGUUGUUUAUCUAUGAUGUCAACUAUCAUACCACAUAUUAUAGCCUACAUUCAUUCAUCCAUCCAUUCAUUUACUCAUUCAUCACCAUGUUCUACUCUCUCUCCUAGGUCACGAUUCCGGCUCUCUACCUACUGUCAUAAUCUAAGUUUUCAGCGCUUUCCUGACCAAGGUGCAUCUAUCAAUCAAAUCAUAACGCUCUGCUGUGUCUCUGCUCUCAGCGCAUCCGCGCCAUGUCUUCUCGCAUAGCCUAAGAUGGUGUCUCCUUGUAAGCGGUAGUUAAGCCGAUUUUGAAGCCACCACCACCCCUCCGUCCACCGUCACCAGAGGUUCCCGUCUGUUAGGGGGCAGGCUACGCCCGCCUCCAUCUCCGCUGGAGGAUAUGCUGUCCUAUCCCGGAGUUCAACGCGAAGACGGGAACCUUCGCCAAACUGAUUCAUGCAUUUUAUCAAGUGUUAUUGUUCGCCAAACUUUUAUGCAUUCCUGUAUCAUGUCUAAUGUUCAAUAAAUGUUAAUAACGUU